rnacentral:lncRNA from 1 species
CAUUCGAUUCAUUAAGGGGCAUAGCGGCGCCCUCGCAUGGCGCUAUUCCCGAACCUAGCAGCAGACGGGCGGGCCGGGCCCGAAUUCAGACCAGACUCUUCUUUGUUUGAGCUGCUCCCACGUAUGCAGGCGUCUCGUUUUGUUAAAAAACUUCAACUAACUUACCUGGCUAAAAAAGGCCGGAAGUCAGAGUGCUGGUGAGCAAUCCGAGCGUUGCAGUCUUU